rnacentral:tRNA from 1 species
CGACUUAGCUCAGUUGGAAGAGCGCAAGACUGAAGAUCUUGAGGUCACUGGUUCGAUCCCGGUAGUCGG